UAAAUAGAACGUUUAAAUAAGGCGAUCUAAGGCGAGUGGAAAUGUCCGCUGCAGCUGGCACACGCAUAUGCCCUCCAACGAUUCUCUCCCUCUCUGUGCCCACCUCUUAGACCCGCUGUGAUCCCUCACAGACCUUCAACCUGCCCCGGGAGUCUCUAUAACAACAUGCCCACCUCGGCCCUCCUUCCCUCCCACCUCGCUACGACAGACACUGCCGCUGGCCUAUCGCACGGUGGCCGACCCCUGUGCCCUGCCCACCCCAGCGGUCCCUCUCCAGCCCCGCCAGAGCCAAUCCGCGGCGGGGUGUAAAGUAGGGCAAGCCGCUUCCUGGUUCAAGGAGGAGCUGCCUGGAGUUGGAAUGGGCCAGCGGAGUCAGAGAGGGGGGAGAACAGCCCAGCGAGCCGGCGGUCUGCAAAGAGCGAGCCGAGGCAGGGGGAUAUAAACGCCGGCAGAGAGACAAGAAGAAGCGGAUAUUACAGAAAACUCCCGGGCGAUACGUGGUUCGUCAGAGGGACUGGUGUGAGAUUUUGGACAGUGCGGAGAGAGCGGUGACCCCCGGGGAGCGACGAGGGGGGAAGAGAGGCGGGUGGGAGUGAAUCCAGGAAGUACAGAAGCCGGUCAGGUGGGACGCGACGAGAUAACAUAGGUGACACCGGCGCACAGCUUUGUAUCCCUGGAAACCUUUUGGCUCUGCUGGAGAAGAACCGAAACAGGAAGAGGUGGAAAAUAGAGAGGGAGGAAGAGAGCAGGGACCCGUCCUCCUCUGAGUUUAUGGACUGGAGCCCUAUCUCUCUCUCGACCACCGGCCUGCCAGCCUACCAACUCACACCACCCGCCUACUGCCAGGGGGGAUGGAAGAGCAAGAAGUUGCAAUACUUUACUUCCUGUAAAGACAGACACCCCUUAAAGAUGAAAAGAGUGUUAAAAGGUAGUGACAGAGAAGA